UACGAAGGGUGCAAGCGUUACUCGGAAUUACUGGGCGUAAAGCGUGCGUAGGUGGUGAGUUAAGUCUGUCGUGAAAGCCCCGGGCUCAACCUGGGAAUGGCGAUGGAUACUGGCUCGCUAGAGUGCGGUAGAGGAGAGUGGAAUUCCCGGUGUAGCAGUGAAAUGCGUAGAGAUCGGGAGGAACACCGAUGGCGAAGGCAGCCUUCGUGGGCCAACACUGACGCUCAUGCACGAAAGCGUGGGGAGCAAACAGG
rnacentral:rRNA from 1 species